rnacentral:snoRNA from 1 species
GCUGUUGAUGAUGAGAAGAUGGUAGAAUUUAUCAUGAAUGGUCUAGAUUUUGAUUACAACCCAAUUGUUUCCUCCAUCCUUGGCCGAGCUAAUCCUAUAUCCCUGAGUGAUCUCUACUCUAUACGCUUUGAGA